rnacentral:rRNA from 1 species
CAAGUGAAUAAGUGCACAUGGUGGAUGCCUUGGCGAUUACAGGCGAUGAAGGACGUAGAAGUCUGCGAUAAGCUUCGGGGAGCUGACAAACGAGCAUUGAUCCGAAGAUUUCCGAAUGGGGAAACCCGGCCUUAUAGGUCAUCACUCACUGAAUACAUAGGUGUGUGAAGCGAACGCGGCGAACUGAAACAUCUAAGUAGCUGCAGGAAAAGAAAUCAACCGAGAUUCCCAAAGUAGUGGCGAGCGAAAUGGGAAGAGCCUGCAUAUGAUAGUCGGACUGGUAGUGGAAGCCUCUGGAAAUAGGCGCCAUAGUGGGUGAUAGCCCCGUACGCGAAAUCAGACCGGUGGUACUAAGUAUGCGACAAGUAGGGCGGGACACGAGAAAUCCUGUCUGAAUAUGGGGGGACCAUCCUCCAAGGCUAAAUACUCGUAAUCGACCGAUAGUGAACCAGUACCGUGAGGGAAAGGCGAAAAGAACCCCGGGAGGGGAGUGAAAUAGAUCCUGAAACCGUGUGCAUACAAACAGUCGGAGCGGACUUGUUCCGUGACGGCGUACCUUUUGUAUAAUGGGUCAGCGACUUACAUUCAGUAGCGAGGUUAACCGAAUAGGGGAGCCGCAGAGAAAUCGAGUCCGAACAGGGCGCUAGUUGCUGGGUGUAGACCCGAAACCAAGUGAUCUAUCCAUGGCCAGGUUGAAGGUGCGGUAACACGCACUGGAGGACCGAACCCACUAAUGUUGAAAAAUUAGGGGAUGAGCUGUGGAUAGGGGUGAAAGGCUAAACAAACUUGGAAAUAGCUGGUUCUCUCCGAAAACUAUUUAGGUAGUGCCUCAAGUAUCACCAUCGGGGGUAGAGCACUGUUAUGGCUAGGGGGUCAUCGCGACUUACCAAACCAUUGCAAACUCCGAAUACCGAUGAGUGCGAGCUUGGGAGACAGACAUCGGGUGCUAACGUCCGGUGUCAAGAGGGAAACAACCCAGACCGCCAGCUAAGGUCCCAAAGAUUGGCUAAGUGGAAAACGAAGUGGGAAGGCUAAAACAGUCAGGAUGUUGGCUUAGAAGCAGCCAUCAUUUAAAGAAAGCGUAAUAGCUCACUGAUCGAGUCGUCCUGCGCGGAAGAUGUAACGGGGCUAAGCCAGUCACCGAAGCUGCGGAUAUUNNNNNNNNNNNNNNNNNNNNNNNNNNNNNNNNNNNNNNNNNNNNNNNNNNNNNNNNNNNNNNNNNNNNNNNNNNNNNNNNNNNNNNNNNNNNNNNNAGGAUAUGGUAGGAGAGCGUUCUGUAAGCCUGCGAAGGUGUCUUGUAAAGGAUGCUGGAGGUAUCAGAAGUGCGAAUGCUGACAUGAGUAGCGAUAAUGCGGGUGAAAAGCCCGCACGCCGUAAGCCCAAGGUUUCCUGUUCAACGUUCAUCGGAGCAGGGUGAGUCGGCCCCUAAGGCGAGGCAGAGAUGCGUAGCUGAUGGGAAGCAGGUUAAUAUUCCUGCACCGUCGUAUGAUGCGAUGGGGGGACGGAUCGCGGAAGGUUGUCUGACUGUUGGAAUAGUCAGUUUCUGGUUCAUAGAAGGUGCUUAGGCAAAUCCGGGCACAUAAUUCAAGGGACUGGGACGAGCGCCCAUGUGGCGCGAAGCAAUCGGAAGUGGUUCCAAGAAAAGCCUCUAAGCUUCAGUCAUACGAGACCGUACCGCAAACCGACACAGGUGGGCGAGAUGAGUAUUCUAAGGCGCUUGAGAGAACUCGGGAGAAGGAACUCGGCAAAUUGGUACCGUAACUUCGGGAAAAGGUACGCCCCAGUAGCUUGACUGCUUUACUGCAGAAGGGUGACAGGGUUGCAAUAAAAUGGUGGCUGCGACUGUUUAAUAAAAACACAGCACUCUGCAAACACGAAAGUGGACGUAUAGGGUGUGACGCCUGCCCGGUGCUGGAAGAUUAAAUGAUGGGGUGCAAGCUCUUGAUUGAAGUCCCAGUAAACGGCGGCCGUAACUAUAACGGUCCUAAGGUAGCGAAAUUCCUUGUCGGGUAAGUUCCGACCUGCACGAAUGGCGUAACGAUGGCCACACUGUCUCCUCCCGAGACUCAGCGAAGUUGAAGUGUUUGUGAUGAUGCAAUCUACCCGCGGCUAGACGGAAAGACCCCAUGAACCUUUACUGUAGCUUUGCAUUGGACUUUGAACCAAUCUGUGUAGGAUAGGUGGGAGGCUUUGAAGCGGGGACGCCAGUUCUCGUGGAGCCAACCUUGAAAUACCACCCUGGUUUGUUUGAGGUUCUAACCUUGGUCCGUUAUCCGGAUCGGGGACAGUGCAUGGUAGGCAGUUUGACUGGGGCGGUCUCCUCCUAAAGUGUAACGGAGGAGUUCGAAGGUACGCUAGGUACGGUCGGACAUCGUGCUAAUAGUGCAAUGGCAUAAGCGUGCUUAACUGCGAGACCGACAAGUCGAGCAGGUACGAAAGUAGGACAUAGUGAUCCGGUGGUUCUGUAUGGAAGGGCCAUCGCUCAACGGAUAAAAGGUACUCUGGGGAUAACAGGCUGAUUCCUCCCAAGAGUUCAUAUCGACGGGGGAGUUUGGCACCUCGAUGUCGGCUCAUCACAUCCUGGGGCUGUAGCCGGUCCCAAGGGUAUGGCUGUUCGCCAUUUAAAGUGGUACGUGAGCUGGGUUUAAAACGUCGUGAGACAGUUUGGUCCCUAUCUGCCGUGGGCGUUGGAAAUUUGAAGGGGGCUGCUCCUAGUACGAGAGGACCGGAGUGGACGAACCUCUGGUGUACCGGUUGUCACGCCAGUGGCAUUGCCGGGUAGCUAAGUUCGGAAGAGAUAACCGCUGAAAGCAUCUAAGCGGGAAACUUGCCUUGAGAUGAGAUUUCCCGGAGCCUUGAGCUCCUUGAAGGGUCGUUCGAGACCAGGACGUUGAUAGGUCAGGUGUGGAAGUGCAGUAAUGCAUUAAGCUAACUGAUACUAAUUGCCCGUACGGCUUGUCCC